rnacentral:rRNA from 1 species
CUUGAUACUGCCCAGAGAAAUUAUGCUACUACUGAGAAAGAGUUCUUAGCUGUUGUGUUUGCAUAUGAUAAGUUUAGACCUUAUAUUGUUGAUUCCAAAGUUACUAUUCACACUGAUCAUGCUGCUAUUAAAUAUCUUAUGGAAAAGAAAGAUGCUAAGCCUAGACUCAUUAGAUGGGUUCUCUUGCUCCAAGAAUUUGACUUGCAUAUUAUUGAUAGAAAGGAAGCUGAGAACCCCGUUGCAGACAACUUGUCUAGGUUAGAGAAUGUUCUUGAUGACCCACUGCCUAUUAAUGAUAGUUUUCCUAAUGAACAAUUAGCGGUUGUCAAUGCUUCUCAUACUGCUCCUUGGUAUGCUGAUUAUGCUAAUUACAUUGUUGCUAAAUAUAUACUGCCUAGUUUCACAUACCAGCAAAAGAAAAAGUUCUUUUAUGAUUUAAGACAUUACUUCUGGGAUGAUCCACACCUUUAUAAAGAAGGACUAGAUGGUAUUAUUAGACGUUGUGUGCCUGAGCAUAAACAGGAACAAAUCCUACGCAAGUGUCACUCUGAAUCUUAUGGAGGACACCAUGCUGGAGAUAGAACUGCACACAAGGUACUACAAUCU